GAUGAUUUCACCAUCUGUUUUGUAGAAGCAGUGCUGGUGAAAAGAAAAGGUUAUGAUUUAACACUGUGAUUUAUUUUAUCAUUGUCAUUUUAGUAUAUUUUUCCUGUCUGUCUUCUUAGAUCACCUGUGGCUGCUGGAAGUGGCAAUCAAACAGGAUGGGGGUGUUUCCUGGGACGACUCCCUGGUCCAAACAGUGGCUCCUAAAAAGGGUGCUCUGCAGCUGCACAGCUCACUGCCAUGAGAGAUGCAAGCGGGACGAGAUGUGAGGACAGAGGAGCUGACAUCAGUUACUUAUGACCCAUCAUUUUAGGCAGAAUCUUCGCACCCUACUCCACCCCGGUCACCUCCAGCCAUCGUAUCCAGAGUUCAGGUCAGGCUCUCAAAGACUAAUUCCUCUACUCAUCCAGAUCAUCGGCACUUCUCCAUCUUCCUCUCAUCUCAUCUUCACCACCUCUACCACCACCAGUGUCUGGGUUCCCUAUUCAACUAUGGAUUCUUCACCCUCCUUAAAUCAAACCAUCUCUACGGGGUC